rnacentral:rRNA from 1 species
AGAGUUUGAUCCUGGCUCAGGAUGAACGCUAGCGGCAGGCUUAACACAUGCAAGUCGAGGGGCAGCAUAAUGGAUAGCAAUAUCUAUGGUGGCGACCGGCGCACGGGUGCGUAACGCGUAUGCAACCUACCUUUAACAGGGGGAUAACACUGAGAAAUUGGUACUAAUACCCCAUAAUAUCAUAGAAGGCAUCUUUUAUGGUUGAAAAUUCCGAUGGUUAGAGAUGGGCAUGCGUUGUAUUAGCUAGUUGGUGAGGUAACGGCUCACCAAGGCGACGAUACAUAGGGGGACUGAGAGGUUAACCCCCCACACUGGUACUGAGACACGGACCAGACUCCUACGGGAGGCAGCAGUGAGGAAUAUUGGUCAAUGGACGCAAGUCUGAACCAGCCAUGCCGCGUGCAGGAUGACGGCUCUAUGAGUUGUAAACUGCUUUUGUACGAGGGUAAACGCAGAUACGUGUAUCUGUCUGAAAGUAUCGUACGAAUAAGGAUCGGCUAACUCCGUGCCAGCAGCCGCGGUAAUACGGAGGAUUCAAGCGUUAUCCGGAUUUAUUGGGUUUAAAGGGUGCGUAGGCGGUUUGAUAAGUUAGAGGUGAAAUUUCGGGGCUCAACCCUGAACGUGCCUCUAAUACUGUUGAGCUAGAGAGUAGUUGCGGUAGGCGGAAUGUAUGGUGUAGCGGUGAAAUGCUUAGAGAUCAUACAGAACACCGAUUGCGAAGGCAGCUUACCAAACUAUAUCUGACGUUGAGGCACGAAAGCGUGGGGAGCAAACAGGAUUAGAUACCCUGGUAGUCCACGCAGUAAACGAUGAUAACUCGUUGUCGGCGAUACACAGUCGGUGACUAAGCGAAAGCGAUAAGUUAUCCACCUGGGGAGUACGUUCGCAAGAAUGAAACUCAAAGGAAUUGACGGGGGCCCGCACAAGCGGAGGAACAUGUGGUUUAAUUCGAUGAUACGCGAGGA